GGACGAACGCCUUCUGUUGUUCAAACAGCAGAGCUUUGGCAUUCUCUGAACUGUCCACUAUGAACAUGAUCUCCACCGGGCAGAUGAGAACUAGGCAGGAAGCAAAACACAGCAGGCAUACCAACAGCAACCAUUUAGAAGGAAGUCAAACAGUUGGCUCAGUGGCACAAGCCAGAAUGAGGAUCAAAACCUUCAGGAGCCACUGCACAGACAUUGUUCAAUCCAGCUGCUCAGCCUGUCUAAAGAAGAGAGGAAGAAUAUAGCAGCAUUAUGGUAAGAGAGUUCCAGGUUAAUCCAUCAGUGAGAAGAACAGGCGCUGCUGUGCAGGCAGAGAGAAGCAGCUGUGAUGGUCAGAGCACAC